AUUGAACGCUGGCGGCAGGCCUAACACAUGCAAGUCGAACGGUAACAGGAAGAAGCUUGCUUCUUUGCUGACGAGUGGCGGACGGGUGAGUAAUGUCUGGGAAACUGCCUGAUGGAGGGGGAUAACUACUGGAAACGGUAGCUAAUACCGCAUAACGUCGCAAGACCAAAGAGGGGGACCUUCUGGCCUCUUGCCAUCGUAUGUGCCCAGAUGGGAUUAGCUAGUAGGUGGGGUAACGGCUCACCUAGGCGACGAUCCCUAGCUGGUCUGAGAGGAUGACCAGCCACACUGGAACUGAGACACGGUCCAGACUCCUACGGGAGGCAGCAGUGGGGAAUAUUGCACAAUGGGCGCAAGCCUGAUGCAGCCAUGCCGCGUGUAUGAAGAAGGCCUUCGGGUUGUAAAGUACUUUCAGCGGGAAGGAAGGGAGUAAAGUUAAUACCUUUGCGCAUUGACGUUACCCGAAGAAGAAGCACCGGCUAACUCCGUG
rnacentral:rRNA from 1 species